GAGGCGCGGCAAGAACCUCCCGUUUCCGGCCUGUCACGCCGGAGGUUGCGGGUUCGAGCCCCGUCAUCCUCU
rnacentral:tRNA from 1 species